GGGAUGUUCAUAACCCUUUGUUGUCCGACUCUGUUGCCUCCGGGGCGACCCUGCCUUCGGGCGGGGGCUCCGGGUGGACACUUCAAACUCUUGCGUAACUUUGCAGUCUGAGUAAACUUAAUUAAUAAAUUAAAACUUUUAACAACGGAUCUCUUGGUUCUGGCAUCGAUGAAGAACGCAGCGAAAUGCGAUAAGUAAUGUGAAUUGCAGAAUUCAGUGAAUCAUCGAAUCUUUGAACGCACAUUGCGCCCCCUGGUAUUCCGGGGGGCAUGCCUGUUCGAGCGUCAUUUCACCACUCAAGCCUCGCUUGGUAUUGGGCAACGCGGUCCGCCGCGUGCCUCAAAUCGACCGGCUGGGUCUUCUGUCCCCUAAGCGUUGUGGAAACUAUUCGCUAAAGGGUGUUCGGGAGGCUACGCCGUAAAACAACCCCAUUUCUAAGGUUGACCUCGGAUCAGGUAGGGAUACCCGCUGAACUUAAGCAUAUCAA
rnacentral:rRNA from 1 species